rnacentral:tRNA from 1 species
GCGGGAGUAGCUCAGGUGGUAGAGCGCUACCUUGCCAAGGUAGUCGUCGCGGGUUCGAGUCCCGUCUCCCGCU